AUUAAUAACAACACGAAAAAAAUUAUCAUAAUCUCAAAAAACAGAAAACAUCAUUACCAAAAACUACACCAUCCUACAUAACAACGGCAAAGAUUUUCGGGAGCUGUAGCUUGUUGGAUAAGCUUUUCAACUUGCGCUUUGACUGGCAAUUGCUCUUUCAAAUCGAAAUCUUUACCAGUUAGCUUAUUUGAGACACGCUUCAAGACUUGAAUAGAUCUCUCGUUGAGUCCUUCGGCGUUUACACCAUUUGUUUCACUAAGAGCUGCAUAAUCAGCGUGACGCGCACGAUGAGUGUAGGACCUUCCUUUCUCUUCUACACUACUUGAGGUAGGCCGGAGUGUCGUAGAAGCCCCGAAAGAGCUUUUAGUCAUAAGUCUCCAAUUAAUCAAAGGGUCAUAGACAAAUGCUUCAAGAACUGCCAUUAAAGACUCCGUAUUUGAUCUUAAAACACGCAUAACAAGCUCGCAAGUAAUUUUGUAAGUACCUUGGAUACCGCUAACCUCCAUAGCAUUAAUAAGCAUUCGAGUAAGUCGAAACGGUAUUUUCUCAGGAAAUUUUUCUCUAUGCAUGGCAACCUCAAAACAAUCACCAAAGUCAAUAUGAAUGAUCUUACCAGAAUACCGAUCCAUCAUUAGAUUGGAAGGAUGUCGGUCACCAAGUCCAAGUAUAUAUCCAACCAUUGACAUGACUGCCAAGCUUUGAGUAUAGCUGGUUCUCCUAUCAAGCCAUGCUUCUGAACUUCGACUUUUAAGCCACAACACAUGAUACAAAUCAUAACCAUCAGUAUUAGCCAUAACAUAUUCGAAUACUUCUAGUUUUUGCAAUAAUGUUAAACUGUCGCAGUCGGGUGCCAUUUGAAGCAUCAUGCGAUGCUCUAAAUUUAACAAUAUGUUACGCUUUGAGCGAAACUCUUUGAUCAGGAAAUGUAAUGUAUCACUAUGCGGAACCCACCCCAGCAAACCAGAAUUGGGAGAUAGCGGAAUAACUGUAUAACGCUCUAUAUUCAGACGUCGUUUGAAUGUCUCAGAAUCCGUAGUCAGUAACGUAUUACAUAAACCAAAAAGCUGCAUAACUCGUUCAUCUUGCCUCAAAUCUUCAUGACCCUUAAGGACAUACUGAUAAUCUUUGCCAUCACUACCAUGAAUUGUCAAUCUUCUUGGCCUUUGCUUAGAAGAAAUAACUUCGAAAGUGUGAUGGAAAUGCGAGAUCCGAAUGACCGGUUUGUUAUGACCAUAGGUUCCAGGCACAGCUAGUUCCAAAUCACAAGCAUCCAAUAACUUAGGGGAAACAUAUUGUAGCUCCAAAUGCUUAAUCCGUGGUAAUUGCUUUUGAAUACGUCUAAAGACUUGAUAAUACAAAUCCCAAGACUGAUUUAAUUCCGUAGGGUCACCAUCU